rnacentral:rRNA from 1 species
CCCAUAUUCCUACGGGAAGCAGCAGUAGGGAAUCUUCCACAAUGGACGAAAGUCUGAUGGAGCAAUACCAUGUGAACGAUGAAGGCCUUUUUGGUUGUAAAGUUCUUUUACGAGGGAUAAUUAUGAUAGUACUUCGUGAAUAAGUGACAGCAAACUAUGUGCCAGCAGCUGCGGUAAUACAUAGGUCGCGAGCAUUAUUCGGAUUUAUUGGGCGUAAAGCAAGCGCAGGCGGAUGUGUAAGUUCUGUGUUAAAUGCAGCUACUCAAUAGUUGUAUGCACCGAAUACUACAUGUCUAGAUUGUGGUAGGGAGUUUCGGAAUUAAGCAUGGAGCGGUGGAAUGUGUAGAUAUGCUUAAGAACACCAGAGGCGAAGGCGGAAACUUAGGCCAUAAAUGACGCUUAGGCUUGAAAGUGUGGGGAGCAAAUGGGAUUAGAUACCCCAGUAGUCCACACCGUAAACGAUGGGUAUUAGAUAUUAGGGCUUUAGCUUUAGUGUUGUAGCUUACGCGUUAAAUACCCC